GUAGUCCACGCUGUAAACGAUGAGAACUAGAUGAUGGAUAGGUUAGACCUAUUUGGUAUCGCAGCUAACGCGUUAAGUUCUCCGCCUGGGGAGUACGGUCGCAAGAUUAAAACUCAAAGAAAUUGACGGGGACCCGCACAAGCGGUGGAGCAUGUGGUUUAAUUCGAUGCAACGCGAAGAACCUUACCUACCCUUGACAUGUAUAGAAGCCUGGAGAGAUUCAGGCGUGCCCGCGAGGGAGCUAUAACACAGGUGCUGCAUGGCUGUCGUCAGCUCGUGUCGUGAGAUGUUGGGUUAAGUCCCGUAACGAGCGCAACCCUUGUCCUUAGUUGCCAACACGUGAUGGUGGGAACUCUAAGGAGACUGCUGGUGAUAAACCGGA
rnacentral:rRNA from 1 species